rnacentral:rRNA from 1 species
UACCGGUGGCGAAGGCGACUUGCUGGACUUCAACUGACGCUGAGGAACGAAAGCGUGGGUAGCAAACAGGAUUAGAUACCCUGGUAGUCCACGCCGUAGACGAUGAGUGCUAGGUGUCGGGAGUCAAAUCUCGGUGCCGUCGCAAACGCAAUAAGCACUCCGCCUGGGGGAGUACGUGCGCAAGCA